AGCGGCGGACGGGUGAGUAACGCGUGGGUAACCGUGCCUCAUACAGGGGGAUAACAGUUGGAAACGGCUGCUAAUACCGCAUAAGCGCACAGUACCGCAUGGUACGGUGUGAAAAACUCCGGUGGUAUGAGAUGGACCCGCGUCUGAUUAGGUAGUUGGUGGGGUAACGGCCUACCAAGCCGACGAUCAGUAGCCGACCUGAGAGGGUGACCGGCCACAUUGGGACUGAGACACGGCCCAG
rnacentral:rRNA from 1 species